CUUCGGUGGCGAGUAGAGUGGCGCACGGGUGAGUAACGCGUAGAUGAUCUACCCUUCAGUCUGGGACAACUCUUGGAAACGAGAGCUAAUACCGGAUAAAACCUUCGGGUUGAAAGCUUUAGUGCUGGAGGAUGAGUCUGCGUACCAUUAGCUUGUUGGUGGGGUAAAAGCCUACCAAGGCGACGAUGGUUAGCGGGUCUGAGAGGACGAUCCGCCACACUGGAACUGAGACACGGUCCAGACUCCUACGGGAGGCAGCAGUAGGGAAUAUUGCGCAAUGGGGGAAACCCUGACGCAGCAAUGCCGCGUGAGUGAAGAAGGCCCUCGGGUCGUAAAGCUCUUUUAUGGGGGAAGAUGAUGACGGUACCCCAUGAAUAAGCACCGGCUAACUACGUGCCAGCAGCCCGCGGUAAUACGUAGGGUGCGAGCGUUGUUCGGAAUUACUGGGCGUAAAGGGCGUGCAGGCGGAUUGGUAAGCCGGAGGUGAAAGCCCGGGGCUCAACCCCGGAGGGUCUUUCGGAACUGCCAGUCUUGAGAGGGUCAGGGGCCAGCGGAAUUCCUGGUGUAGAGGUGAAAUUCGUAGAGAUCAGGAGGAACACCGGCGGCGAAAGCGGCUGGCUGGGGCCACUCUGACGCUGAGGCGCGAAAGCGUGGGGAGCAAACAGGAUUAGAUACCCUGGUAGUCCACGCCGUAAACGAUGGGCACUAAGCGUCCGACGGGUUCGACCCUGUUGGGUGCUGCAGUUAACGCGUUAAGU
rnacentral:rRNA from 1 species